UACGUAGGGUCCGAGCGUUGUCCGGAAUUAUUUGGCGUAAAGAGCUCGUAGGCGGUUUGUCGCGUCUGCUGUGAAAUCCCGAGGCUCAACCUCGGGUCUGCAGUGGGUACGGGCAGACUGGAGUGCGGUAGGGGAGAAUGGAAUUCCUGGUGUAGCGGUGGAAUGCGCAGAUAUCUGGAGGAACACCGGUGGCGAAGGCGACAUCCUGGACCGGUAUUGACGCUGAGGCGCGAAAGCCAGGGGAGCAAACGGG
rnacentral:rRNA from 1 species